UUCCUGGUGGCCUAGUGGUUAAGACAUUGUACUUCUACUGUAGGGGGCACAGGUUCGAUCCCUGGUCAGGAAG
rnacentral:tRNA from 1 species